ACCCUGGUGCUCACACAGCCUCCUCUCUUGCAGCCUCCACCACGGCCCCAUCGGUUUUCCCACUGGCCCCCAGCUGCGGGGUCACGUCCGGCUCCACAGUGGCCCUGUCCUGCCUGGUGUCCGGCUACUUCCCCGAGCCAGUGACCGUGUCCUGGAACUCCGGCUCCGUGACCACCUUCCCGUCCGUCCUGCAGUCCUCAGGGCUCUAUUCUCUCAGCAGCAUGGUAACAGUGCCUUCCAGCCGGUGGCCCAGUGACACCUUCACCUGCACCGUGGCCCAUCCGGCCAGUAACACCAAGGUGGAAAAGACAGUGCCCAAAAAAGGUCCCUGCAAGGAAUGUCCCAAAUGUCCAGAUAUGCUGGGAGGGCCUUCGGUCUUCAUCUUCCCCCCGAAAGCCAAGGACAUCCUCAAGAUUGCCCGAACCCCUGAGGUCACAUGUGUGGUGUUGGACCUGGGCCGAGAAGACCCUGAGGUCCAGAUCAGCUGGUUCGUGGAUGACCAGGAGGUGCGCACGGCCAAGACGAAUCCACGUGAGGAGCAGUUCAACAGCACCUACCGUGUGGUCAGUGUCCUUCCCAUCCAGCACCAGGACUGGCUUGCAGGGAAGGAGUUCAAGUGCAAGGUCAACAACAAAGCCCUCCCAUCCCCCAUCGUGAGGACCAUCUCCAAGGCCAGAGGGCAGGCCCAACAGCCCAAUGUGUACGUCCUGCCCCCACCCCGGGAUGAGAUGAACAAGAACACAGUCAGCGUGACCUGCCUGGUCAAAGACUUCUACCCACCUGACGUUGAUGUCGAGUGGCAGAGCAAUGGACAGCAGGUGCCAGAGACCAAUAUCCGAACAACCCCACCCCAGCUGGACGCGGAUGGGACCUACUUCCUCUACAGCAAGCUCUCGGUGGACAAGAACCGCUGGCAGCGCGGAGAAACCUUCUCAUGUGCGGUGCUCCAUGAAGCCCUACAGAACCACCACACGGAGCUGUCCCUCUCCCAGUCUCCGGGUAAAUGAGCAACACGCCCGGCACCCCAGCAAGCCCCCCGCCCACGGGCUCUCAGGGUCCCACGAGGACACCGCAGCCCCCACCCCUGUGUACAUACCUCCUGGGCAGGCACCCCUGCAUGAAAUAAAGCACCCAGCACUGCCCUGGGACCCUGCGA